rnacentral:rRNA from 1 species
AUUGAACGCUGGCGGAAUGCUUUACACAUGCAAGUCGAGCGGCAGCGCGGGGCAACCUGGCGGCGAGCGGCGAACGGGUGAGUAAUGCAUCGGAACAUGUCCAAGUCGUGGGGGAUAGCCCGGCGAAAGCCGGAGUAAUACCGCAGAAGCCCGGGAGGGCAAAGCAGGGGACCGCAAGGCCUUGCGCGAUUGGGUUGGCCGAUGUACGAUUAGCUAGUUGGUGAGGUAAAGGCUUACCAAGGCGGUGAUCGGUAGCUGGUCUGAGAGGAUGAUCAGCGACACUGGGACUGAGACACGGCCCAGACUCGUACGGGAGGCAGCAGUGGGGAAUUUUGGACAAUGGGGGCAACCCUGAUCCAGCCAUUCCGCGUGAGUGAAGAAGGCCUUCGGGUUGUAAAGCUCUUUUGUCCGGAGCGAAACGGUACGGGUGAAUAUCCCGUGCUACUGACGGUACCGGAAGAAUAAGCACCGGCUAACUACGUGCCAGCAGCCGCCGUAA